rnacentral:rRNA from 1 species
GGACUACACGGGUAUCUAAUCCCGAUCGAUACCCAUGCCUUCGUACCUCAGCGUCAGUUUAAUAUAGUAACAUGCCUUCGCCACUUCGCAUCCCUUAGAAAAUUCAAGUAUUGUUACACUCCUUCCUAAGUAAUUGAUACUUCUUUUAAACUCUAGUAUAAUAUUAUAAUAUUCACUCUUAUGUGAUUUAAAUAUGAUUUAUUAUACCGCCUACGUACCCUUUAGACCCAUUAAUGACGAAUAACGCUUGCCUCUUACGUAUUACCGCGGCUGCUGGCAC